GACGAACCGAGCGAACGUUUGUUCGGAAUCACUGGGCUUAAAAGGGCGCGUAGGCGGUCUGUCGCGUCUGCUGUGAAAAUCAGGGCUCAACCCUGGACCUGCAGUGGGUACGGGCAGACUAGAGUGCGGUAGGGGAGAUCGGAAUUCCUGGUGUAGCGGUGAAAUGCGCAGAUAUCAGGAGGACACCGGUGGCGAAGGCGGAUCUCUGGGCCGUAACUGACGCUGAGGAGCGAAAGGCAUGGGGGAGCGAACAGG
rnacentral:rRNA from 1 species